GAUGAACGCUGGCGGCGUGCCUAAUACAUGCAAGUCGAGCGAACAGACGAGGAGCUUGCUCCUCUGACGUUAGCGGCGGACGGGUGAGUAACACGUGGAUAACCUACCUAUAAGACUGGGAUAACUUCGGGAAACCGGAGCUAAUACCGGAUAAUAUAUUGAACCGCAUGGUUCAAUAGUGAAAGACGGUUUUGCUGUCACUUAUAGAUGGAUCCGCGCCGCAUUAGCUAGUUGGUAAGGUAACGGCUUACCAAGGCAACGAUGCGUAGCCGACCUGAGAGGGUGAUCGGCCACACUGGAACUGAGACACGGUCCAGACUCCUACGGGAGGCAGCAGUAGGGAAUCUUCCGCAAUGGGCGAAAGCCUGACGGAGCAACGCCGCGUGAGUGAUGAAGGUCUUCGGAUCGUAAAACUCUGUUAUUAGGGAAGAACAAAUGUGUAAGUAACGAUGCACGUCUUGACGGGACCUAAUCAGAAAGCCACGGCGAACUACGU
rnacentral:rRNA from 1 species